rnacentral:rRNA from 1 species
GAUGAACGCUGGCGGCGUGCCUAAUACAUGCAAGUCGAGCGAACGGACGAGAAGCUUGCUUCUCUGAUGUUAGCGGCGGACGGGUGAGUAACACGUGGAUAACCUACCUAUAAGACUGGGAUAACUUCGGGAAACCGGAGCUAAUACCGGAUGAUAUUUUGAACCGCAUGGUUCAAAAGUGAAAGACGGUCUUGCUGUCACUUAUAGAUGGAUCCGCGCUGCAUUAGCUAAUUGGUAAGGUAACGGCUUACCAAGGCAACGAUGCAUAGCCGACCUGAGAGGGUGAUCGGCCACACUGGAACUGAGACACGGUCCAGACUCCUACGGGAGGCAGCAGUAGGGAAUCUUCCGCAAUGGGCGAAAGCCUGACGGAGCAACGCCGCGUGAGUGAUGAAGGUCUUCGGACCGUAAAACUCUGUUAUUAGGGAAGAACAUAUGUGUAAGUAACUGUGCACAUCUUGACGGUACCUAAUCAGAAAGCCACGGCUAACUACGUG